rnacentral:rRNA from 1 species
AGAGUUUGAUCAUGGCUCAGAUUGAACGCUAGCUGCAUGCUUAACACAUGCAAGUCGAACGGCAGCGCGAGGAGCUUGCUCCUUGGCGGCGAGUGGCGGACGGGUGAGUAACGCGUAGGAAUUUACCCAGUAGAGGGGGACAACUCGGGGAAACUCGAGCUAAUACCGCAUAAUCUCUUCGGAGGAAAGCAGGGGAUCUUCGGACCUUGCGCUAUUGGAUGAGCCUGCGUAGGAUUAGCUAGUUGGUGGGGUAAAGGCCUACCAAGGCGACGAUCCUUAGCUGGUCUGAGAGGAUGAUCAGCCACACUGGGACUGAGACACGGCCCAGACUCCUACGGGAGGCAGCAGUGGGGAAUAUUGGACAAUGGGGGCAACCCUGAUCCAGCAAUGCAGCGUGUGUGAAGAAGGUCUUCGGAUUGUAAAGCACUUUCAGUAGGGAGGAAAACCCGCAAGUUAAUACCUUGCGAUUUGACGUUACCUACAGAAGAAGCACUGGCUAACUCUGUGCCAGCAGCCGCGGUAAUACAGAGAGUGCAAGCGUUAAUCGGAAUUACUGGGCGUAAAGCGCGCGUAGGCGAGACGAUUAAGUCGGAUGUGAAAGCCCCGGGCUCAACCUGGGAACUGCAUCCGAUACUGG